CGGAGCGGGUGUCCGGGCGCAGACGCCGACGACCAGGACCGCUCGGCCGUGGCGGGGCGCGUGCGCAGACGGCCGGGCCGGCAGACGCUGGAGGCGCCGGGGAGCAGGGAAUUUUGUAUACUUUGACCGAGUGAAACCAUCGGACCACCCCGAGAAGCUGCUGACGUUCUUCGAUGCCCUCGGGAGAGGGCCGUGAGCUGGAGGGGCCCGCCUGGCCCGCGACAGGGGCCUUCCUUACCUUGUCGUGGAUUCGGCCGGUCCAGGGCUCGCUGUGUCCCUCGUCGUUUUCCAGCUUAUGAGACAUUAUUUCCUUCUAGAAAUCUUUAUGCCGGUUCCUCUUCCUACCAACCGCGACCCGGGAAGCGCGCGGUCUCUGUUCCGAGCCGCGGUCACCGUUCCAGUCGCCGCUCCUUUGUGGAGGAGCCUGGGAGGCGGAACUCCCGCUGCGGUCCGCGAAGGGAGAAUCCCUUUCCUCGUGAUUCCGGCAGCAGACUUGUCACCGCGGAGCUUAGACCCGCGGCGGCUGCUCCUCACACGGAGCCAACGCCCUGUGCGGGGCCAGGCACUUGGGCUGGACGGAGAAGGGCGGGCUUGUCUGGGUGCCCCCUUGGUAACAACACAGUAACGAUUCAAGCCACUUGGCCGGGCUGGGUCCGUGGACUCCUGUGCCCCUUUUUCUAGAAUUUCCAGAGUGAUCUCUACACUGCUGAUAGAACCGUUUGGUCGUGUGUUAGACGUCGUAACAGGUGUUGAUCAGGAAGAGUCCCUCAAGACCGGACACGAGAUCUUUCAGGCGUCUGCCAACGUUUACUUGGUGCAGAUCCGUCAGCUGCGUGACUCGGGUGCAGCAAGCUGGCUCCCCAGCAGCGUGCCGGACUGUUGAUUCGUCCUGGAGGUUCUAAGAGGGCCACACUGAACUUCUUUUGGAAGCAGAAUCCACAUAACAUAAAAUCGGGUAUCUUCAAAUGUGUGAUCCCGUGGUCUUGAGUUCACUCGCUGUACUGUGCUACCGCCCCCUCUGCUGAGCUCCAGACCACUUCACGACCCUCAAGGAAACCCCACACUCAUUGCGGGGUCACUCCCCACUCCGCAUUCCCCACCAGGCCCCGGACAGCCACCGCGCUGCUUCUGUCUGUAGACUGGCCUGUCUGGGAAGUUCCUGUAACUGACACGACAUCUGGCCUACAGGUCUGACUUCACUCACUUGGUGUAACGUUUUCAAACUUGGUCCACGUCGUAGCGUUUUUCAGUAUCUGGUUCAUUUUUAUGGCCCAGGCUCAUUGUUUAUGGGCACCAAAUUUUAUUUUACAACCAUGACAGAAAUUUAAAAUCUAGCGCAGAUGCGAUUUGCCUCAUACGAUGCCGCGAGCAUUGCUAAGUGACGCGCGGGGUGGGUGUCGGACGUCACUCUCCACUUGAGUUUCGGAGGGGCCCUUGGCAUUACCCACCCUCCGUCAGGGAGGCCAUCAGCAGAGACCCCGCUCUCCCUCUAUCAGCUUACUGUCAAAGCAUGUGAGAUCUGUCCUAAUUUAGCUAAAGUCGAUUGUACCAGAAAAUACAACUUCAAGCUCUUUGUCUA